rnacentral:lncRNA from 1 species
ACGGCGAGUGUAACGCCCAAAAAUAAUUAUUUGUUAUUUUUAAUAUUUACGUAAUUAUUGUGGUUAGUCGGAAAUUAGUCGAAAGUCGUAGAAAUUAUUAUAAGAAAUAAUAAUAUAAUUGUGGUGUUAUUUGAGUAAGUGGGCUUAUCAUUGUGUGCUAAUUAGUAAAAUGAGAGGUGUUAUAUUAGGCCCAUUAGAGAUUAGGAUAUUUAGUUAAUUUAAUAAAGAGAAAAUAAAAGAGGUGAUAGAAAAAGAAAAAAAAAACAGUAGUGGAGAGAAGUUAGCAGAAGAGGAAUUGGAGAACUGUUGUACGAACGAGAGGGAAGGAGAAGAAAACUUCUGGAAUCCGAUUCUUAGAGCAACCUUCGAUCCAAAAUAAUAAGGUAAGGGGGGUUUAUCGUCGUUUAAUGGGUAUUAUGGGUUAACAUGUAAU